rnacentral:lncRNA from 1 species
UUUGCAUACAGACAUUUGAGAAUAUUCUUGAAAGAUUACGCUAUCUGAACAAUAUUGAAGUUACUUACACUGGAAAAGUACAUUCAAUAUUCAAACAUUUGAAAGGCUAGCCAAGGAUAGACGAAGCUAGAAACAUGACUGAACAAGAAGCUUCUCGAAAGACCGCCAGGAAUAGAUCGAUGUUUUCCGAAGGCUUUACGGAACGUCGCGAUCUCGAACAAUACUUCUGGACUACAGAAUGCGUACAUAAACUGAUGGACGCCUUACGUUAUCAAUUUGACCCUUGUUGUCUGGGAACACCGAGUCUGGCGCACGCUUGGCAUUUUGAAGAAAAUAGAUCAGAAUGGCUUUUCGACAUAGAUGAACGAUUUAACUACCUACCAAAGUUCAGAUAUUUUGACAUUCGAACACCGGAAAAUCAAGAC